CUAUCCUCCGCAGCCGGAAGAGUCUUGAUGAAAGCUAUCCCUAGUACGAGAGGACCGGGAUGGACGGAGCUCUAGUGUGUCAGUUGUCCUGCCAAGGGCAUGGCUGAUUAGCUACCUCCGGAAGGGAUAACCGCUGAAAGCAUCUAAGUGGGAAACCCGUUCAAAGAUGAGGACUCUCACAGGGUUAACCUGGUAAGGCCCGUGGAAGACCACCACGUUGAUAGGCCGGAAGUGUAAGUGCGGUAACGCACUCAGCUGACCGGUACUAAUCGGCCGAGGGCUUUAUUUUG
rnacentral:rRNA from 1 species